UAGGGGAUAUUCCGCAAUGGGCGCAAAGCCUGACGGAGCGACGCCGCGUGAGCGAUGAAGGUCUUCGGAUCGUAAAGCUCUGUUGUUAGGGAAGAACAAGUACCGGAGUAACUGCCGGUACCUUGACGGUACCUAACCAGAAAGCGCCGGCUAACUACGUG
rnacentral:rRNA from 1 species